rnacentral:rRNA from 1 species
GGAGGAAUAUUGGUCAAUGGGGCGAAAGCCUGAACCAGCCAAGUAGCGUGCAGGAUGACGGCCCUACGGGUUGUAAACUGCUUUUAGGCGGGGGUAAAGGGGCGGACGUGUUCCGCUUUUGCAAGUACCGCCAGAAUAAGGACCGGCUAAUUCCGUGCCAGCAGCCGCGGUAAUACGGAAGGUCCGGGCGUUAUCCGGAUUUAUUGGGUUUAAAGGGAGCGUAGGCCGUCUUUUAAGCGUGUUGUGAAAUACUGUCGCUCAACGACAGAGGUGCAGCGCGAACUGGGAGACUUGAGUGCGCGGAAUGCAGGCGGAAUUCGUCGUGUAGCGGUGAAAUGCUUAGAUAUGACGAAGAACUCCGAUUGCGAAGGCAGCUUGCAGUAGCGUAACUGACGCU